AUGUUAUAUGAAAGGAGAGAAAAUUAGCACUUUCCUUGAAAAGCAUGAAUGAGGUCCUAGUGGCCUGUUUACAACACACAUGCAACAAUGAAAAAUAUGGAAAUAGGUAUCAAGUGAUAACAACUGUACAACCCAGUUGAAUUGCUUGU
rnacentral:ncRNA from 1 species